rnacentral:rRNA from 1 species
AGUGAACGCUGGCGGUAGGCCUAACACAUGCAAGUCGAACGGCAGCACAGUAAGAGCUUGCUCUUACGGGUGGCGAGUGGCGGACGGGUGAGGAAUACAUCGGAAUCUACUUUUUCGUGGGGGAUAACGUAGGGAACCUUACGCUAAUACCGCAUACGACCUACGGGUGAAAGCAGGGGAUCUUCGGACCUUGCGCGAUUGAAUUAGCCGAUGUCGGAUUAGCUAGUUGGCGGGGUAAAGGCCCACCAAGGCGACGCUCCGUAGCUGGUCUGAGAGGAUGAUCAGACACACUGGAACUGAGACACGGGCCAGACUCCUACGGGAGGCAGCAGUGGGGAAUAUUGGACAAUGGGCGCAAGCCUGAUCCAGCCAUACCGCGUGGGUGAAGAAGGCCUUCGGGUUGUAAAGCCCUUUUGUUGGGAAAGAAAAGCAGCAGGUUAAUACCCCGCUGUUCUGACGGUACCCAAAGAAUAAGCACCGGCUAACUUCGUG